UACGGAGGAUCCGAGCGUUAUCCGGAAUUAUUGGGUUUAAAGGGUGCGUAGGCGGCCAUUUAAGUCAGCGGUGAAAUUUUGCAGCUUAACUGUAACAGUGCCGUUGAUACUGGGGAGCUAGGAUUUGGUUGCUGUGGGUGGAAUGUGUGGUGUAGCGGUGAAAUGCUUAGAGAUCACACAGAAUAUCGAUUGCGAAGGCAGCUCACAAAGCCAAGAUUGACGCUGAGGCACGAAGGCGUGGGGAUCAAACAGGAUUAGA
rnacentral:rRNA from 1 species